rnacentral:rRNA from 1 species
UACGUAGGGUGCGAGCGUUAAUCGGAAUUACUGGGCGUAAAGCGUGCGCAGGCGGUUCGCUAAGACAGGUGUGAAAUCCCCGGGCUCAACCUGGGAAUGGCGCUUGUGACUGGCGGGCUGGAGUACGGCAGAGGGGGGUGGAAUUCCUGGUGUAGCAGUGAAAUGCGUAGAGAUCAGGAGGAACAUCGAUGGCGAAGGCAGCCCCCUGGGCUGCUACUGACGCUCAUGCACGAAAGCGUGGGGAGCAAACAGG